CUACACUUUAGACAAACAAUAUUAAUCUAUUCUCAAUUUGACCACAGACAAUAAGACAGCAAUAAGAAAAGUUUGACAAUAAGCAAAUAGUAUGAAUCAUAGAUUAUACACUUAAUAUAUUGUAUGAAUGCGUGUAUGUGUCAAAUACAUGGACGUGUUUGUAAUGUUUUUUUAUUGAUUUAUUGUAUCUUUUAUGCAUAAUUAAAUAAAAUACUCUCCUUCUCUAUAUUCUCUAUAAGUGUGGGAUAUUCCAUACUCCUCCGUCCGCGCAAUUUUCGUUAAAAGGGGUACAAAGUUUUUGCUUCACUUAUUAAUAUAUAGAUUAUAAUCGAGCCAAUAAAAAUGCAUCCUGUAAUGAAAUCCACAAAGAAGAUUUAUCGCGAUUCAAGCAACCCAAAGGAAAAAGGUUCUGUUACCGAACGAGGGUUGGUGCCGUGCCGGAUCAGAAUCCGGACGAAGCACCGCGCUGUACCGGAAGUCACGGCGCGCGCCGGAUAUGAAGUACAAAUUCCUGAUAUCCGCCUCUCGCACGUUUAUGUUUAUUUACCAGUAAACAAAUAAAUUGUAGUUAAAAGUAUUGUUACGGUAAGAAUAACGCCAUCGAUCGUUGAAGAAACGAAUGUCAAAACAACUAGUAAUACCGAGAACGCUCGUGAAGU